GUGGGGAAUAUUGGACAAUGGGCGCAAGCCUGAUCCAGCCAUGCCGCGUGAGUGAUGAAGGCCUUCGGGUUGUAAAGCUCUUUAGCCGAUGAUUAUAAUGACUGUAGUCGGAAAAUAAGCCCCGGCUAACUUCGUGCCAGCAGCCGCGGUAAUACGAAGGGGGCGAGCGUUAUUCGGAAUCACUGGGCGUAAAGCGUGCGUAGGCGGCUUUGCAAGUUGGGAGUGAAAGCCCAGGGCUCAACCCUGGAAUUGCUCUCAAAACUGCAAGGCUCGAAUUCGGGAGAGGAUAGCGGAAUUGUCAGUGUAGCAGUGAAAUGCGUAGAUAUUGACAGGAACACCAGUAGCGUAAGCGGCUAUCUGGACCGAUAUUGACGCUGAGGCACGAAAGCGUGGGGAUCAAACAGGAUUAGAUACCCUAGUAGUCC
rnacentral:rRNA from 1 species